rnacentral:lncRNA from 10 species
ACGCCCCCGCCCUCCCCUUCCAGCCCGUGGCUCGGCGACUUACAGGGAGGGAGAACAUGGCUGCUGGCUUUUAGCACCUGGUGGGUUUCGCGCCUUGCAACUCGACAACUGCCGGGACGGAGUCUGGCUGCGCGACCCCCUGCGGCAGGUGCUGGGCGAGGCGCCUCCCCUGCAACUAGCCUGCCGCUUCCCUCCCGGCACCCCCGCCGCCAGCCCCGAGCGCGGACCUGGAGCGGAGAAGAGAGAGUCUUGCUCUGUUGCCCAGGCCGGAGUGCAAUGGUGCAAUGUCAGCUUACUGCAACCUCCACCUCCCAGGUUCAAGCCAUCCUCCUGCCUCAGCCUCCUGAGUAGCUGGGAGCCAUCACGCCCAGCUAGCCAUCUUCUAAUUUUCAUUCCUUCAAAGCUCCUGCCCCGGAGCCGGGCCCUGGCGAGGCAGGAAUGGCCCCGAGGCCUCCGACCGCCGCGCCCCAGGAAGAAUGGUACCAUGUCGACCCUGCUCAGAGGAGCUUAUACAGGGAUGUGAUGCUGGAGAACUAUA